GUCCAGUGACGAGUCCCAAAUAGGACGAAAUGCGCGUUAUCCUGGAU
rnacentral:hammerhead_ribozyme from 1 species